UUAGACACAAUCCAGUCAAAAGUCUACAAUUAUCUCUGCGUUCCCAGGGCUUGAGCUGUCUGUAAAGGCCCUAUGGAAACAACUAAACAUCUUGUAGAAAUCAAAUAGGUCCAACAGACACCUGGGAUCAUAUAUCUGCAAUUCCAGGAUAAAACCCCGGUUUAAUGUAUGGCCGACUGAUGAGAUUAUGAGGAAACAGAACUGGGCCAUGUUGUUGUAUCAGCUGUGAAUUCCUGAACUGCCUCUGAACCACUAUUUCAAUAGCAAAUUGAAAUCAUCCAGGAGAAGAUGGCUGAAUGAAUCAAUCACACACCUGGCAAUGAGGUGCCACCAGUACAUGGAUUCUCUGUCCAAUUCUUCAGUGAGACAAUCACAGAAUGGCUGCAUACGAGCUGUGGUGGCACAG